UACGAAGGGGGCUAGCGUUGCUCGGAAUCACUGGGCGUAAAGGGCGCGUAGGCGGCGUUUUUAAGUCGGGGGUGAAAGCCUGUGGCUCAACCACAGAAUGGCCUUCGAUACUGGGACGCUUGAGUAUGGUAGAGGUUGGUGGAACUGCGAGUGUAGAGGUGAAAUUCGUAGAUAUUCGCAAGAACACCAGUGGCGAAGGCGGCUCACUGGCCCGAUACUGACGCUGAGGCACGAAAGCGUGGGGAGCAAACAGG
rnacentral:rRNA from 1 species